CAGCCGCCGCGGUAAUACAGAGGGUGCAAGCGUUGUUCGGAAUUAUUGGGCGUAAAGCGCGUGUAGGCGGCGUGACAAGUCGGGUGUGAAAGCCCUCAGCUCAACUGAGGAAGUGCGCCCGAAACUGUCGUGCUUGAGUGCCGGAGAGGGUGGCGGAAUUCCCCAAGUAGAGGUGAAAUUCGUAGAUAUGGGGAGGAACACCGGUGGCGAAGGCGGCCACCUGGACGGUAACUGACGCUGAGACGCGAAAGCGUGGGGAGCAAACAGGAUUAGAUACCCCAGUAGUCCCUGUCUCUUAUAC
rnacentral:rRNA from 1 species